CAAUGAAGGAAGCAUCGUAAUAUGCACAGAAAUUGAAUUGGGUCUCUAGGCCUGUCCUCUUUGAUGCCAUUUGACUUUGAUUUGGGGGCAUGGUUUCACAGCAAAAUA